GGGCUUAGGCAAGUGAGGGGCCCUGAAGCCUAAGCUUCAGAAAGGGAUACGUGUGAAUCACCAAGGAAAGGAGAGGCCACUCUAGAUCGGAGUGGUCAGGGAAGGAGGACUUAGAGCUGCAGACCAAAUGCCAAGGAGCCAGCCAUGUGUGAUCUGUGGGAAGAGCAUUCUGAGCAUAAGGAACAGCAAGUGCAAAGGCCCUGAGGCUGACACAGGCUUGAGAUGCCAAACUGGGAGCAGAUGAGAAAAGUUAAACACAGAAAGAAAAUGGCAGAGCUGGGAUCGAACCACCAAGCCCAGCCAAGUGUGGGUCCAGAAUCUGCUCUCAUAACCAAUGUGCUUCCACCAUUACCUGGCUCACUUCCUGUAGGCCUGAAAGAAAAAGGCUGCCUGCUGUGAUGGCCUGUUUUACAAAGAAGAACAGAGGAUGAAACAAGCUACAGGGUCUUGUCCUUUCGGUGGUCCUGCUGGGUUUGAACCUAUAUGGAGUGAAACUUGGAGACAUCAUCUUGUACUUCAGUCGGUGCUGGGAUGGAGAGGCUGGGUGUGGCCCCCUGCACCCCUAAGGCCAAUUUCAUCUUCAUCCAACACUUGGUUCCACCAAGCCUUCUGCUCUCUGCUGAGCUUCAGCUCAAGAAGAGAAGUUUCUAGGACUACAAGGUUGGUCAGGGUUGCCUCUCCUGGUGGCAGAUGCAAAGCGAUGCUUCUCCAGGCCCUGCCUUCGGCUGCUGGUCUCGGGAAAGUCCUCCAGGGAGCCCCGCGCAGCUUUCACCCUCCUGCUUUGGAAAUGUUUGUGCAGCUUCCUGGCUCCCUCCCAGGUGACGUCUGCCCUUUUACCUUUCAGGCUACUCCUCUCUCUUACCCGAUGGGCAACUUUGGGCAGGCAGGAGGCCAACUGAAAUAGUUCUGUAAAUUGCCUUUUUAUGUUUGUAACUAGAGCAGAGGUUUUAAUUAGGGUACACGGAUGUGGGAGGGGUGACAACUCAAACCCCCUGAAUGACUGUGCCGAUCCUAUGUGUGUGAAUAUUUCUAGGGAGAGGUUGCUUAUAGUCAUUCGAUUUCCAAAGGGGUCUGGGAAAGAGUUGCAACCACGCCUGGAGUCUGUGGUGGGCCUGAGCGGCCACCAGAUUAGACAGAACACUGGCUGCUUUUUUGAAGGCUUUUCUGGCCAAGAACCGUCACUUCCUGUUGAUGGCUGGUGGUGGCUUGUAGUGGGGACACCUGGCCUUUGCUCUGCUGCCCCACAGGCUGAGGCUCGAAUUCUAGCUGGAAAAAAAAAAAGUUACAAAUUACUUCCUGAGCUGAUCCUGGGUUUCUCGUGACCAGGAAAAUCUUUCAGUGUAAAAACUUGAAAUACCAAGAGCUUGUUGUAUUGCCAAUCUUCUCUCUCUUUAAUUACACAGAGCUGCCACAACAAAGUACCACAGAUGGGGUGGCUUAAGCAGCAGAAAUUUGUUUUCUUACGGUUAGAAAUCCAAGGAGGCUACAUGUCCAAGAUCAAGUUGUCGGGCAGGGGCUGGUUCCUUCUGAGGCCUCCCUCCUUGGCUUCCCACACGGCCUUUCCUCUGCACGUCUGUGUCCUGAUCACUGAUCAUCUCCUCUUAUAAGGACGCCUGUCAUAUCAGGUUAGGGCCCACCCUACCGACUUCACUCUAAUGUGACAACCUCUUCAAAGGCCCUACCUGCAAACACAGUCACCUUCUGAGGUACUGGGGGUGGUUAGGACUUCAACAGAAGGAUAUUGAGGGACCCAAUUCAGCCCAUGACAUAUCCAUUACAUUUUUGUGACCACAGAAGCAACACCUGCUCCCCAUGGAAAAUUUGGAAACUUCAGAACUAAAGAAACUAAGUUAAGAAUUGCUGCAAAAACCAUUUUUCUUAAGUGUACAAAGUAAAGGGAAAGCACACCUCUCUGUCUCCACCUUCACGCCUCCUCCCCAAAGAAGGCCUGUAGGAAUGUUCUGUAAUAACGAGGGUCGUGUCCUUGCAAACUUUUGCUGUGUCUGCACGGGCCGCUCCCAGGACCGUCCCUGUCCCUGUCGCUCUGCCUGGUGGUGCUGACAUCCUGGAGAUUGUGCUGGGGCUGCUGUGGAUCAAAUCUUAGGGGACGGUCACAGUGAUUCUAGAAUUGUCUUGUUUGAAGGGUAUGCAACACGUUAAACACCAGAUCUCAGAUUUAAAAGGAAAUUUGAAAAAGAAGGCACGUAAAGAUAAAUGAGACCCAUCAGAAUAGCUUCUGGGAGGCACUGAGAUGUUUGCUGCGCUUGAGUUUAGGCACUGAGGCAGUCGGCUGUUUUUCCUUCCUUCAUCUUCCUACGUAGCAGGAUUUUCUGCUUUUUCUUUAAUGGGCUUAUGUUACUUCUUAUAAUGUGGGAAAUAAACAGCUGUAACAGAAUAUUGCCAGGGAGGACAAUUAAAAGGAACUGUGAGUUCUGUGCAGAGCAAGGAGAUAAAAGAAA